GUCUAUAGCCAUACCACCCUGAAUGAGCCAGAUCUCUUCUGCUGUUGGAAGCUAAACAGGGUCGGGCCUCGUUAGUACUUGGAUGGGAGACAAGAAAUCUGAGUGUCAGAAACG
ensembl:rRNA 5S_rRNA 5S ribosomal RNA